UACGGAGGGUGCAAGCGUUAUCCGGAUUUAUUGGGUUUAAAGGGUCCGUAGGCGGGCCCGUAAGUCAGUGGUGAAAUCUCAUAGCUCAACUAUGAAACUGCCAUUGAUACUGCGGGUCUUGAGUAAAUUAGAGGUAGCUGGAAUAAGUAGUGUAGCGGUGAAAUGCAUAGAUAUUACUUAGAACACCGAUUGCGAAGGCAGGUUACCAUGAUUCAACUGACGCUGAGGGACGAAAGCGUGGGGAGCGAACAGG
rnacentral:rRNA from 1 species